rnacentral:rRNA from 1 species
GUUGUAUAGUCAAGUAAUUAAGUGCAUGUGGUGGAUGCCUUGGCAGUCAGAGGCGAUGAAAGACGUGAUAGCCUGCGAAAAGCUCCGGGGAGGCGGCAAAUAUCCUUUGAUCCGGAGAUGUCUGAAUGGGGGAACCCACCUACUUUAAGGUAGGUAUUGCAACAUGAAUACAUAGUGUUGCAAGGCGAACGAGGGGAAGUGAAACAUCUCAGUACCCUUAGGAAAAGAAAUCAAUUGAGAUUCCCUCAGUAGCGGCGAGCGAACGGGGAUCAGCCCCUUAAGUUAUGUGUGUUUUAGUGGAACGCUCUGGGAAGUGCGAACGUAGAGGGUGAUAUUCCCGUACACGAAAGGGCACACAUAAUGAUGACGAGUAGGGCGAGGCACGUGAAACCUUGUCUGAAUAUGGGGGGACCAUCCUCCAAGGCUAAAUACUCCUGACUGACCGAUAGUGAACCAGUACCGUGAGGGAAAGGCGAAAAGAACCCCUGUGAGGGGAGUGAAAUAGAUCCUGAAACCGCAUGCAUACAAGCAGUGGGAGCACCUUCGUGGUGUGACUGCGUACCUUUUGUAUAAUGGGUCAGCGACUUAUAUUCAGUAGCAAGGUUAACCGUAUAGGGGAGCCGUAGAGAAAUCGAGUCUUAAUAGGGCGUUUAGUUGCUGGGUAUAGAC